UGGGGAAUUUUGGACAAUGGGCGAAAGCCUGAUCCAGCAAUGCCGCGUGUGUGAAGAAGGCCUUCGGGUUGUAAAGCACUUUUGUCCGGAAAGAAAUGGCUCUGGUUAAUACCUGGGGUCGAUGACGGUACCGGAAGAAUAAGGACCGGCUAACUACGUGCCAGCAGCCGCGGUAAUACGUAGGGUCCAAGCGUUAAUCGGAAUUACUGGGCGUAAAGCGUGCGCAGGCGGUUGUGCAAGACCGAUGUGAAAUCCCCGAGCUUAACUUGGGAAUUGCAUUGGUGACUGCACGGCUAGAGUGUGUCAGAGGGGGGUAGAAUUCCACGUGUAGCAGUGAAAUGCGUAGAGAUGUGGAGGAAUACCGAUGGCGAAGGCAGCCCCCUGGGAUAACACUGACGCUCAUGCACGAAAGCGUGGGGAGCAAACAGGAUUAGAUACCCUGGUAGUCCACGCCCUAAACGAUGUCAACUAGUUGUUGGGGAUUCAUUUCCUUAGUAACGUAGCUAACGCGUGAAGUUGACCGCCUGGGGAGUACGGUCGCAAGAUUAAAACUUAAAUGAAUUGACGGGGUCAUAGCUGUUUCCUG
rnacentral:rRNA from 1 species